GCAUAGUGCACAUUCGUAUCGGUGUUGAAGUAUUUUAAUCUCUCGUCAGCUCAGGUGGGCUGAGAAAUGUUCUGCUCUCCAGCAUCUAAAAAUGUUGUCUUGUUCGAACCAGAGAAGCAGACAUUUGUUUAGCUUUGUGAGAGAGUUUUGCCUGCGGAUCAACUUUCCCACUUAGCACCUGGAAGCACUUCCCAUGGCUUUUUACCUCAAUCCCACAAGACCAUCCUCCUCUGCAAGCUGCCUUGUGUUGUAUUGGGGUCUCUCAUUUAUUCAUUUGGCUGUUUUUUAAAAGGUGUUUAAUAUAACAGUUGUGUAUUUUUUCAGCAUGCCCGACAACAUGCAUGUGUUUCAUUGCUUUGUUGUUCAAAAGUUUCCGCUGUGGCAGCAUGUGGGUCUGCUGUUGCAUCCAGAAGUCGUGGAUUGCAUUGCAUGACUGAGAAGCAUCAUUAUCCAUAUCUUUGCCCAUUCGUAAGCCCAGCUUGAAAGAGAAAGGCAGUCCCUCUAAGAGCACCGGGGGGAAGGAAGCCAAGACCCCCAAACCAGAGGAUGGAGUCAAAGAGAGUCCAAGCAAAGUGACCAAGAGCUUGAGCUUCACAGAGCGGAACAAAGCAAAACACGCUUUUAGAAUGAAAGAUGGAGCUUCUCGGCAGAACUCUGAAGAGGCAAGUCUUCCAGAAGAUUUUGGGGAUGACCGAGGUUUCCACUGUGAGUUUGUG
rnacentral:lncRNA from 1 species